UUCUUUUCUAUUUUAUAGAAAAGGAAAGAUGGUCGACUAAGGGCAAAAUUGUCAUUUGGCUUAAAGGAAAAAGUGCCUUCCAUCUAUUCAUUUUACAUGAUAUGGGUCUAGAAACAUUUUCUCUUCCGACUUCCUUCUCUUCUAUUCCAGUCGAUCGGAGGCGGGGGCGGAUCCACGUGGAGUCAAGUGGGUUCAUAUGAACCCGCUUCAUUAAAAAAUAACACUGUAUAUAUAGGUAUAUUUUUGUUAUUUUCAGACAAGUAAAGGUAUAAAUAUAAUUGUGAACCAACUUGAAACAAGUAAAAUGCCUAGGCUGUCGAUAAAAAGGGUUCAAAUUUUCCACAUGUUCUUGAGUUCGAAACCAGCUAGUGACAUAUGACCUCUAAUGUUUUUUUUUGAACCCGCUUGAUAAAAAUCUUUCAACAAUACUUUCUUUUCAUCUUCUUAUCUAUCUGCUAGAUUUCAGGUAUAGUUCUCUCAAUAUUUGCUCACAUAUUCUUUGUUUUUACUUUGUCUUCUUUCUUUUUUUGCUUCUUUUAUAUCUGUAUAGCUGUUUCCAAUUUCAUGGAUAAAUUUCUUUGGAUUUUGUGUUUUCCAACCAGACGAUGCGGAAUCACCAUUUUAAGGGUUAUUCUCCGUCCAAUUUCAUUGAUGUUGCCUUCUUCUCGCUGAUUUGGCUAUAUUUCUUCUUCUUCUUCUUCUUCUUCUCCUUCUUCUUAAGGUAUUGACAUUUUUUAUUCUGCUAACUUAAAAACUAAAAGGAUAUUAAAUUUUACUCCUAAUGCAUGUUGUUCUUCCUUUUCUUUACUUUGUUUUGUGUAUAUUAUACUUCCAUGAAUUAUGAGUCGCGAGUAUGUUUUCAGGUUCUUCAUAACUGUCUCUUCACACACACCUCACUCUACAUAGCCGAGGAAAAUAAAGUAAGAAUUCAUGAUAACCCAAUUUUGAUAAAGCACUAAAAUUGGUGUAUGAGUUGAGAUUAACAAAAUUGGAUCAAUUAAGUCGAAUAGCUAUUGAAAAAAAAUUGUGUAUGUGAUUUUCUAUUAAUAGAUUUUAUUCAUUAUAUCAUGUGUUAGGAAGGCUUAAUAAGGCCUAAGAUGAUUUGCGAACUCUUCUUAAAAGUUGUGUUCGAGCAACAUUUGUUUGUUUCAAUUUAUAUUCGUUUAUCUGGCUAAAAAUUUAUGGAAUAGGGAAGGUCUGUUAAAGGGCAGAAGAGAUUGUAUGGAGUUGCAAGACAGUAAUGGUCCAGAAAAAAGGACGAGAAAGUAGCACAGAUAUCCCACAACUUUUAGAAGCAGACAAGAUGGAUAGAGAUGUCAAGGCAAGUAUAAGAGAUCUGAGUCAAGGAAGUAGCUUAAUUUAUAUAUUUUUUAUUCCCUGUUUGUUUGGUAUUUGCUAAUACUAUAUGUAUUAAUGGAAGUUUUGCAUCCAUUGAAUCCAAGUUUCACUUGGAUUGAAGCUUGGGAUGAGCUCAAUCUGCUACUAAAGACGCUGCCAAGAUUCCCAAUGGUGCUUCCAAAUAAAAUAUUUCAUAGUUAUUUGUGACUUUUAGUUUAUUUGCAGUAUUUAUAGCAUUGCGUUUAUGUAAUUUUGUCAUCUGCUUUCCGUUACUUCUUUUACUUGGAAUUGUAGGUGUAGUCAAAAUUUGGAAUCAGUGGAUGCAAAACUCCCAUUAAAUUCUUGUAUACUGUAAUAAGCCAUUUGGUAUUAUAGUUGUUUGUCUUCUUGGGAAUUCUCAUUCUUACAUCUUUAAGCCUAAUAGAUCUUAUUAUCUAUUGAUAUGUCCAUGUAGCUAGGUACUAGAUCAACAUAUAUUAUCUUCACCCAUACUUUCUUAUUGCUCUCCACUUUUAUGCAAUUUUAUUAGAAUAUUCUUCAAGUUUUUAUUUUAUUUAGAUAUUUUGUCCGAAAAAUACAAGUGAUGGAUGGAUCUUGCCAUUUUGCACACUUAAUCAGUCACUUCUUGAUAAUUGGUUUGUUCUCCAGUUAGUUCGGUACACAAAUGCACAUGGAUUGUAGGUUUGUGUCUUUAUCAAUGAGAAAUAUUAUUGCAUUAAUACAUACACUAUGUUUUAACAUAGAUAGAGUAUGUAUUUAAAAACAUUCUUCCGUGAUGAUUACUUCCAAAUUUUUCAAAUUAAAACUAUUACAGGGAACCUAAAAAAUGGAUUAUCUUCAAGGUCAUGGAAGAGUACUCAAAUGUCCUCCUCUAUCACUUUCUUUCUGUCCGUCAAGGCCUCAAUAUGUUGUUCUCCACUUCCUUUUUGCGUAUAAGUUGUGUUUCUCCAUGUUUAUGUUUAUCAUUAUGAUUAUUGAUGGUAAGGCCUAGCUCUCUCUGCAUUCAGUUUCUUACAUCAAUUGGUGUGCUUGCUUUUGUGCUUUUAAUUUAUUUCACCGCUUUUUCUUUAUAACUAAUGGACUUUUUGUGUCAUUUAAUAGUGAUAUGAUAUUAAUGUAUUUUUUUUCUUUUAAUUGGGGCAAGUAAAAUUUAUUGACCAACUUUUCUGGACAUCAUUUGCAUUUCAUAUAUUUGUCAGCAUUAGCUUACCGAAGAAAACAUAAGGCUUAGCAUUUUUUCGAUUUUUUUGUUAAUUGUUAAGUGGUUAAAUCUUAAGGAUAGGAAGAUCCUAUACUGCUUUGAUAAAAGGUUAUAUUUCCGAUGCAUCUUUAGAUUGUAGUAACAGUAACUUGGCCUUUACUUCGUGCCCUCUUCUAUAAAGGCUUGGGUAUAAUACUCUGGAGUAUUUUGUUUGCGGAGAUUGCACGCAUCUCUUUAUGUCAUGAUACCUUUCAAUUCUUGCUAUGGAACUUUUAUCAGUUAAUGUUUUCUAUCUCAACAUGUUUGACUUCUAAUUCUCCAUUGGAACAGGACAAGAAGUUGUUUGAAGAAUACACAGUAGCAGAUGUUUUCAGCAAUACACAGUAUUUGCAAUACUCUAUAUGGCUCUUAGUUUGUUUAUAGUGCAAACACUGAUAGCAACUUAUACAUUUGGUUGAUCACGUGAAAUAGGAUGGUGGGUAGAAAAUGAUGAUCAAAUAAGUCGUAUGCUUGAUUUUGAUUUUGUAUGUAUAUUUAAAGGAAGUGGAAGAAAAGGAAAUUCUUGCUCAGUUUUGAUAAGUCUAGGGAGGCAAUAUAUAUUCUAUGUUUGUCACUAUUUUCUAAGGUUGGAGCUGUGUUUCUGGUGGUUGUGAACUUAUGCCAAUUCUAAACCUUUAUAGUUUUGUAGGGUCGCUAUGUGAAUGCAGUAUUAGACAUGAACAAAAUGACACUAGAAUUCAAAAUGUUGGGCUCGUGCUAUGCACGGGCAAUACUCAUCUAGUAUUAUAUAGACAAAUAAAUGUGGAGAUUUUCCAAC
rnacentral:lncRNA from 1 species